CAUCGAGUUCAAGGAGGAUCCACUCUUUGGUGUUGGUGCCGGUGAACCAGUGGGAGCGGAGGUGUGUCGAGGACGUGAGAGGCUUUUUGAGAUGGAGAUUCUCUCGACAUUGCCUUCACUUUGUAGUUCAUUGGUUUCACUCUUGGUUCAAAUUCUAUCUCCACCUCUUGCAAAGGCCUACCUCUAUCGCCUGUAACCGAAAAAAUUACUCGAGAAGGAAGAAGAUGAAGAGGAGCGCUUGUUUCCGAUGAAAAUGGCUGGCGUUCCUUUUAUUAUUUUGGUCUAACUAACGAUACUUUUCAAGUGGGCUUGGCCCAGUCCACUUGUCUCACACGAACAGAACCAUCCAUUUCCCUCUCUUCCAUAGCUUUGGCAGACACUGGUUUGAACUCUCUUAGCUCUCGCUUUAUUCUUUCCAUCAAACCAAUUCAAGCAAAGGUACUAUCUUUCUUUAUUUCUCAAUGAUAUUUGUGGAUUUGGAUUUCAAUUGAAUGAUCUCAUUAGUGAAAUCUUUUCUAGUCGAGAUAUAGAUUCCAGUUUCUUGAAUCAUCUCUGUGUUUUUUGGGAAUAGGUUAGGAUGGCUACCCUUCGAAAUCUGAAAAUCAAGACGAGUUCUUGCAAACGCAUUGUGAAGGAGUUG
rnacentral:misc_RNA from 1 species